rnacentral:rRNA from 1 species
AGCGAACGCUGGCGGCAGGCUUAACACAUGCAAGUCGAGCGGGCAUCUUCGGAUGUCAGCGGCAGACGGGUGAGUAACACGUGGGAACGUACCCUUCGGUUCGGAACAACUCUGGGAAACUGGAGCUAAUACCGGAUACGCCCUAUGGGGAAAGGUUUACUGCCGAAGGAUCGGCCCGCGUCUGAUUAGCUAGUUGGUGGGGUAACGGCCUACCAAGGCGACGAUCAGUAGCUGGUCUGAGAGGAUGAUCAGCCACACUGGGACUGAGACACGGCCCAGACUCCUACGGGAGGCAGCAGUGGGGAAUAUUGGACAAUGGGCGCAAGCCUGAUCCAGCCAUGCCGCGUGAGUGAUGAAGGCCUUAGGGUUGUAAAGCUCUUUUGUCCGGGACGAUAAUGACGGUACCGGAAGAAUAAGCCCCGGCUAACUUCGUG